AUUUGUGAUCUGGGCCACUCCAGGUAGUGGACAGGACCCCACCUUCUGUUACCAUAGCGUUGAUCAUUGUUUAGACUUGGAAAACUCCAUGAGGACGGGGUGUACAGCUGCUCUCAAAGCUGACUGCUAGGCAUUCGUGGGUCCCAGGCCAGUUCUCCAUAGCCUUGUGUUGGGAUACAGCAGCUGAGGACAACAGCAUCCCCAGGUGGGAUGGGUCCUGGCGAUGCCAUUUACCUCCUGACUGCACCCAUGUGUCCUUGUGCCACUGAGGAGGGGGAAUCCCUUCCCCAGUCAGAAGCUUAGCUCCUUUUCUGCCUCUGGAUGAUGGAGGAUAGGCAUUCACGUCUCUGAGUACAAGCUCUUGCCCCCCCUCUGCAAAGUACACCCUGGGCCCUGUAGCCUGGAUAAGCCUUAUUAGUCCAUCCAUACGGCUGUAACAGAGUUUCACAGACUUAGUAGCUGUUAAAAAGCAGCACUAGUUCUCAUUGUGGCUCAGCUGUUAACAAAUCUGACUAGCAUCCACAAGGAUACAGGUUCAAUCCCUGGCCUCACUCAGUGGGUUAAGGAUCUGGCCUUGCCGUGAGCUGUGGUGUAGGUCACAGAAGUGGCUCGGAUCCUGCAUUGCUGGGACUCUGGUGUAGGCCGGCAGCUACAGCUCCAAUUUAAUCCCUAGCCUGGGAACUUCCAUAUGCUGUGGAUGUGGCCCUAAAAUUAAAUUAAAUAAAUAAAUAAAUAAAUAAAUAAAUAAAUAAAUAAGCGACACUUCAUUUCUCAUAGUUCCAGAGACUGAAGGGUGCCUGCAUGGUUGCAUUCUGGUGAGAGCCUCCUUCUUGGUGGCAAAGCCAUUUUUCAUUGCAUCCUUCCGUGGUGGAAAGAGGGUGAGAGAGCUCCCUGGGGCCCCUAAAAGGGACUGACCCCAUCAUGGGGGCUUUACCCUCAAGACCUGGCUAUCUCCCAAAGGCCCCUUCCUGAUACCGUCACACUGGAGGGUUAAGGCUUCAAUAUAUCAAUUAGAGAGGGGUGGGGGUAGGGUGACACAGUCCAUUGCAGAGACCAUCAUAAUACACAGCUGUACUUUCCCGUUGGACUGUCCUCAUCUUAACCACACGAGCUCUGACAGUUUAAUUCCACAACCUACAAGCUGAGAAUUCAGCUUUGUUCAGUGGUGUGACUGAAGGCUGUAGCCUGGAAAAGCCUCUCGGAUCCGAGGAACUCUUCCAAAGAGGGAAGGGAAGAGCCAGAACAUACAGAAAUUUUUUCUGGUGAAAACCAACCAACAAACAAAAAUGUAGUCAAACAUCAAAAAAGUACUGCUAAUCACAAAACCCAGAUUUUCUGGUUAAUGAUUUCAGUGCUUUUAUGUGUAUGGGAAGAUGCAAGAGUCCGGAGUCCUAGAAAUCAUUCCUAUGAUAUGCACCUUAACUGUCUGGACCUUGUAUCUUAUAUUUUUCUAUCCUGAAUUUCCCUCAGGGUGCACCGCUGGGGAGUGGCUACAGCAGUUGAGGACCACAACAGCCUCUGUUUACUGGCAUUCUUUGUCCACAUGAUCCAGGUUAUAUGGGGCCAAAGUCAGUUCAAUUUCUAGUCACAGGUUUUUCUUUAAUGAGUGUUUGAGGAUUAGACCAUCUUGAUACCCACUCCCCACCCCCAACCCCAGAUUUCCUGAGAACUGUGUGGAGUGCUCAUGGACAUGUCUCAAACUCAGGCAUGGAGUACUUUCCUCCUCUUUGUGGACAUAAUGCAGGUAACACUUGAAGCCCCGGGCUGAGGCACGUUCCAGGUUCAUACUUGCCUACCAUCUGCGUGAUGGGAGGGCUUCUUAAAAGUGAUAGCCCACGCAAAGAGGGCAGUGGACUGGGAAGUUCAGUUCCAUUUGUCAUCACCAAAUAUAGGACCUGCAGUUCUUGAAAUAGCACCAUUUCAGCAUCACCUUAACUCCAAGAUCCUUUUCUCUAGCAGAACCCCCACCAUGGUGGAACCAGGACAUCAUCCUUAGCUCAGGAUAUUAGACUGCCUUGGCAGGAGGAUGACUGCAUUUUCCAGAGGCAUCUAACAUGUUCUCCAAAUAGGAAUCAGCCACUUGGGGGUUCUGGAAAAAUUGUCAGGAUAAAGAAUGAGCAGUUACUUUCCAACUUGGAGGGUUGUCAUUUAGGUGGAAUCAAACCCUUGAUUCUUUUUAGGUCUGUUCAUUCCACAAACAUUUAAGAAGUAGAAGGCGUACAAUGAAAAUUUAAGUGGUUUCUAUCCUUGAAGCACUCAAGCGUCUUAGUGGUGGAGGGAGUCAGAUGAUUCAUGCAUAAUGAGGUGAUAAGUGUUAAAAUAAAGGUGUGAAGUAAAGCACAGUGAGAGGAUUAAAAGGUAGGUUGGAGAUGGCCUUGCGAGUGUUGAAAGGUGGACUUUUUCUUGGUGGCCCCAAGCUGACUCCAUGAUGCAAUAAGAGGAUAAAGAGAAUGGGUACAAAUGGAGACUUUAAACAUUGUACAUAUCCCUGUAAUGGAAUAAGGAAUUGACUGUUUACUGAACCAUAAACACACAUCAGUUACAUUUUUCUGCAGGGAUCUCUUUUCAGUAAGACUUCUGAUGUCUUUUUUCUUCAUGGCUUUUGGUAAGCGAGUAAUCUAAACAUUGUCUAUUUUUUUCUAUCUAAUUGUACCUUUUAUAUGCAAAGGGGAGACCAUUCCCUAACACUGGAGUAUGAAGUCUUUCACCAGGGAUUUCUAUCCGAUUAAGAGACUGCAGGCAUUGGGUAUGGCAAGGAUAUCAAGUUCUGAGGGAGAGUUUGGUCUCUGGGUGUUUGCUGGUCCUAGGAGUGCAGUGUGUAGAGGCAAGGGGACAGAUAGAUCUAAAGGAAGAGACAAAAAUGUCAUCCCCCAGUAAGUCAUCCCAGACUAUGUCCCGGAAGGGCUUAUUCCAAGAUGAAGAAACUAUCAGAAACCCAAUAGGGGGAGUUCCGAUGCUGUCGUGGCACAGCCGAAACGAAUCUGACUGCUAUCCAUGAGGAUGUGGGUUCAAUCCCUGGCCUUAUUCAGUGGGUGGGGAUCCCGAGUUGCUGUGGCUGUGGUGUAGGCUGGCAGCUGUACCUCUGAUUCGACCCCUAGCCCGGGAACCUCCAUAUGCCUCAGAUAUGGCCCUAGAAAGACCCAAAAAGAAAAGAAAGACAGAAAAGAAACCCAGCUGGAGUGAAAGUCCCAAGACAGUGGAAGCUCAGAGUAGAGAGAUGGAAGGAUCUAGUUGGCUGCAGGGUGAUUUAUAGGAUUUCAGCUCCUGUAACAGGAAUAGUGAAUCAUGUAGCACAAAGUGAGCCGAACGCAAAUGGAUUUGAAGUCUGAUCUUGAUUGUUCAACCACAAGGUUUUUUUUUUGAUUUAAUAAAUUUAUAAUAGAUAACAUAUAAACCCAUGUUAACUAACAACUUUGGGGAUUUAUUUUCUAUAAUUUGGGGAAAAAUAUGUGUUUUCUGCCAUGUAUUUUAUAGCACAUUUCAAAAUGCCUUUACGCACAGUUAGCUUUACAAACACUUAUUUAUGCAUUUUCUGAACACAUCUGUCCUGUGUUAAGGAAAAUUAAGGUAAGUAAAACCCUCAAUGAGCCUACAGUCUGUUAGUCUGUAACAUACGUGUAUAUGUCCAAACAUAUUUGUAUAUAAUGUAUGCGUGUGUAUAAAUUGUUAUUAAACCUGGAGUUCCCUUUGUGGUGCAGCGGAAACGAACCCGACUAGGAACCAUGUGGUUGCGGGUUCGACCCCUGGCCUCGCUCAGUGGGUUAAGGAUCUGGCAUUGCUGUGGUGUAGUCACAGAUGCAGCGUUGCUGUGGCUCUGGCAUAGGCCAGCAGCUAAAGCUCCGGUUAGACUCCUAGCCUGGGAACCUCCAUAUGCCAUGGGUGCAGCCCUAGAAAGACCAAAAAAAAAAAAAAUGUUAUUAAACAUGGGAAAAAUACAUGGUUUAUGACAGUUUUGAGGAAAUAAUGCAGAGAGUUGGAGAAGAAAUCUCUGAGUUCCAAAGGAAGUAUCUUCAGGAGAACACCUGGAAAGUGAUAAUAGGCUUUGGAGUACAGGUGGGAUUUUAUGGUCUGAAAUGGACCCAAGGGGCUGUACAAUGACUGGAGGAGUGGAAAUCUGAGAAAGUGCCUGCACCUGGGAGGGGAGAUUGCAGAGGUGGGUUGAGGUGAAACCAUUCAUUUGCUUAGAAGCCUGAAUUGAUUCCUCAGUAGAAAAGAGCCAUUGGCGAUUUCUGAGCCCUUUAAAGACAUUAUUACGUAGAAACAUAACUGGCUACCACAUAAGGGUGCUUUAGAAGCGAGGGGGAGUGACUCUACAAAGCAAUCCACAUACAAUAGCCCAGUGAGGGGCCUACUGCAGGGUUCAAAAUAGGUCGGCAACUGUGGGAACAUGAACCGGAAUACAGCUCUGCUUUAAGAUUUCGAUUGUAGAUUUGGGGGGAAUGGGCAGGAUUUGGUAAUUUAUGGGACAUGAGGGUUGAGAAGGGAGUAGAAAAUGACUCAGAAAUUGAUUACUAGUCUCGGUGAAUAAUUUAGUUCCUGAAGCAGGGGCCACAGGAAGAGAAACACUAUUUGAGUCUAAGGAAAUGGAUUAAGGUUUGGACAAAUUUGAGGUGACAUCCCUGAGGUGACAUCCAAAGCACAGUUAAACAAAGCUACCAUUUAGGGAGGGCUUGCUCUGCUCCCAGUAUUAUGUAAGUCAUGCCUUAUAUGGUUUAUCAUAUAAUGUUUAUGGUUUUAUUACCAUCACUGAUAUUUCAUGGUCACUUCUGUAUCCUUGAUAAAGGAAAAGAGAAUUAAUUAACUGUCUCUUUUGGCCACUGCCCCAGCAAUGGCCCCCAAGUAUGUAGAUUAGGAGCCUGGGGAGAAGUCAAGGUCGAUGGUGGCAGUUAAUCAUUUGUUUACAGCUUUUAUUCAGCCCCUGCCAGUGGCAAAGUGCAUGCCUUGAGCUGGGGGCACCCAGAUACCCUUAGCAACACUCUAGAGGUCUGAGGUGAUCAAGGAGUUGAUUAAGGAGUUGUGAUGGGAGUUGCCACUGUAGCUCAGUGGGUUAAGAACCUGACUAGUAUCCAUGAGGAUGCAGGUUCCAUCCUUGCCUUGCUCAGGGGGUUAUGUAUUUGGUGUUGCUGUGAGCAGUGGCGUAGGUCUCAGAUGUUGCUCAGAUCCUGAAUCACUGUGGCUGUGGCUCUGUCGACUGGCAAUUUGCAGCUCCGAAUUGACCCCUGGCCUGGAAACUUGCAUAUGCUGCAGUUGCAGCCCUAAAAAA
rnacentral:lncRNA from 1 species